GACGAACGCUGGCGGCGUGCUUAACACAUGCAAGUCGAACGGUGAUGCUCCAGCUUGCUGGAGUGGAUCAGUGGCGAACGGGUGAGUAACACGUGAGCAACCUGCCCCAGACUCUGGAAUAAGCGCUGGAAACGGCGUCUAAUACUGGAUACGAAACUGGCCCGCAUGGGCAUGGUUUGGAAAGUUUUUCGGUUUGGGAUGGGCUCGCGGCCUAUCAGCUUGUUGGUGAGGUAAUGGCUCACCAAGGCGACGACGGGUAGCCGGCCUGAGAGGGCGACCGGCCACACUGGGACUGAGACACGGCCCAGACUCCUACGGGAGGCAGCAGUGGGGAAUAUUGCACAAUGGGCGAAAGCCUGAUGCAGCGACGCCGCGUGAGGGAUGACGGCCUUCGGGUUGUAAACCUCUUUUAGCAGGGAAGAAGCGAAAGUGACGGUACCUGCAGAAAAAGCGCCGGCUAACUACGUG
rnacentral:rRNA from 1 species